rnacentral:rRNA from 1 species
CCUACGGGCGGCAGCAGUGAGGAAUAUUGGUCAAUGGGCUUACGCCUGAACCAGCCAAGUCGCGUGAGUGAAGACUGCCCUAUGGGUUGUAAACCCCUUUUGUCAGGGAGCAAUUGGCGCUACGUGUAUCGUUAUCGAGAGUACCUGAAGAAAAAGCAUCGGCUAACUCCGUGCCAGCAGCCGCGGUAAUACGGGGGAUCCGAGCGUUAGCCGGAUUUAUUGGGUUAAAAGGGUGCGUAGGCGGAAUGCCAAGUCAGCGGUAAAAUCGCGGGGCUAACCCUCGCUCCGCCGUUGAAACUGGCGUUCUUGAGUGGGCGAGAGGUAUGCGGAAUGCGUGGUGUAGCGGUGAAAUGCAUAGAUAUCACGCAGAACUCCGAUUGCGAAGGCAGCAUACCGGAGCCCAACUGACGCUGAAGCACGAAAGCGUGGGUAUCGAACAGGAUUAGAUACCCCAGUAGUC